GGAAAUAUAGCUUUAGUGGUAAAGUGCUUGCCUAGCAUGCAUGAAACCCUGGGUUCGAAUCCUCAGUACCA
rnacentral:tRNA from 1 species